AUUGAACGCUGGCGGUAUGCUUUACACAUGCAAGUCGGACGGCAGCGCGGGGCAACCUGGCGGCGAGUGGCGAACGGGUGAGUAACAUAUCGGAACAUGUCCGGAAAUGGGGGAUAACGUAGCGAAAGUUACGCUAAUACCGCAUAUGCCCCGAGGGGGAAAGGUGGGGAUCGCAAGACCUACCGUUUUCGGAGUGGCCGAUAUCGUGAUUAGCUAGUAGGCGGGGUAAAGGCCCACCUAGGCGACGAUCCGUAGCUGGUCUGAGAGGACGACCAGCCACACUGGGACUGAGACACGGCCCAGACUCCUACGGGAGGCAGCAGUGGGGAAUUUUGGACAAUGGGCGCAAGCCUGAUCCAGCCAUACCGCGUGAGUGAAGAAGGCCUUCGGGUUGUAAAGCUCUUUCGGCAGGAAAGAAAUCGCCGCCUCUAACAUAGGCGGCGGAUGACGGUACCUGAAGAAGAAGCACCGGCUAACUACGUGCCAGCAGCCGCCGUAAAAC
rnacentral:rRNA from 1 species